UUGCAUCAUUGCUCUCUAUCAAAUCAAACCAGUUCUAAUGUUGUAAUGAAUUUCAACAAAAUCCCUUUUCUAUUUAAGGUCAUGUUUGUGAUAAUCCUCUAUUAAAAAACGCAGAAAAAUUCCCAGAUUCUUGGUUUACUGCCUUCCCAAAGAGUCGUAGUGCUUCAAAGCAAGAAUAUCCAGUGGUAGUUCAUGGUGUGCUCCUGCUGCAGAUGGCAAUUAUUAUUUUCAACUGAAUUUCCCAAGUCUUUAUGCAGUUAACGUUAUCGCAAUCUUUGGAGACAGUUCAAGUUCAAGCUUUGUAACUAAAUAUCACUUGCAGACAAACAUUGAUGGUGUGAACUGGAAAUCUGAAAAAUCCCAGAAGAUUUAUCUAGGAAACAAAAAUGGUUACAAUGAUGCGGCUAUAGAAAAGUUUUCUGGUGGCCUUAAAUCCAAAGCUUUGCGAAUCUUUCCAUUGAAAUUUGUUGGUGCACCGUGUUUACGAAUUGAAAUUUGUGGUGGAGACUUAUUUCCAGACAAACCAACAGAUCUCAUUGCAACCAAAUCUGCAUCGACGUACCUCUAGAUAUCAUGGAAACAUCCCCAAAAAACUGGUGUAAAACUUGGUACAAAUAUCUCGAAUCCUCUUACAAGAUAUCUAUUGAUUUUGCUGAAGGAUACUAUGAUUGUUUUCGAUAAAACUUUAGAGGUAACUGACAAAAAACCGUACAACAUUACGAAUCUUGUUCCUUACGCAACGUAUAAAGUUAAUGUAACCGCUGGCAAUUCUAAAGGCUUUGGU